rnacentral:tRNA from 1 species
GCCCAAGUGGCGGAAUGGUAGACGCAGGGGAUUCAAAAUCCCCCGAUGGCAACAUCGUGUGAGUUCGAGUCUCACCUUGGGCACCA